rnacentral:tRNA from 1 species
ACCUAGCUGGUUCAGUGGUAGAGCAUGUGACUCUUGAUCUCAGGGCUGUAAGUUCAAGCCCCAUGUUGGGUA